rnacentral:rRNA from 1 species
GAUGAACGCUAGCGGCAGGCUUAAUACAUGCAAGUCGAGGGGCAGCACGGUUAGCAAUAACUGGUGGCGACCGGCGCACGGGUGCGUAACACGUAUACAAUCUACCUUAAACAGGGGAUAGCCUUUCGAAAGAGAGAUUAAUACCCCGUAAUAAAUUGAACGGCAUCGUUUGAUUUUGAAAGCUCCGGCGGUUUGAGAUGAGUAUGCGUCUGAUUAGCUAGUUGGUGAGGUAACGGCUCACCAAGGCGACGAUCAGUAGGGGAUCUGAGAGGACUAACCCCCACACUGGUACUGAGACACGGACCAGACUCCUACGGGAGGCAGCAGUAAGGAAUAUUGGUCAAUGGAGGCAACUCUGAACCAGCCAUGCCGCGUGCAGGAUGACGGCCCUAUGGGUUGUAAACUGCUUUUUAUACAAAGAGAAAAACCCCUGGUACGUGUACCAGGUUGAUAGUAUUGUAAGAAUAAGCAUCGGCUAACUUCGUGCCAGCAGCCGCGGUAAU